GCUUACGGCCAUACCUCUCUGGCUCCGCCUGAUCUCGUCUGAUCUCAGAAGCUAAGCAGAGUAGGGCCUGGUUAGUACUUGGAUGGACGACCCCCUGGAAUUCCCAGGUGCCGUAAGCU
ensembl:rRNA 5S_rRNA 5S ribosomal RNA